rnacentral:rRNA from 1 species
UACGGGGGGGGCAAGCGUUGUUCGGAAUUACUGGGCGUAAAGGGCUCGUAGGCGGCCAACUAAGUCAGACGUGAAAUCCUUCGGCUUAACCGGGGAACUGCGUCUGAUACUGGAUGGCUAGAGGUUGGGAGAGGGAUGCGGAAUUCCAGGUGUAGCGGUGAAAUGCGUAGAUAUCUGGAGGAACACCGGUGGCGAAGGCGGCAUCCUGGACCAAUUCUGACGCUGAGGAGCGAAAGCCAGGGGAGCAAACGGG